rnacentral:rRNA from 1 species
UGCCAGCCGCCGCGGUAAUACGGAGGGUGCAAGCGUUAUCCGGAAUCACUGGGUUUAAAGGGUGCGUAGGCGGCUUUGUAAGUCAGAUGUGAAAGCCCACCGCUUAACGGUGGAACUGCAUUUGAUACUGCAAGGCUUGAAUCAGGCUGAGGUCAGCGGAAUGUGUCAUGUAGCGGUGAAAUGCAUAGAUAUGACAUAGAACACCAAUUGCGAAGGCGGCUCACUGGCUCGAUACUGACGCUGAGACGCGAAAGCGUGGGGAGCAAACAGGAUUAGAUA